UACGUAGGGGGCAAGCGUUAUCCGGAUUUAUUGGGCGUAAAGAGCUCGUAGGCGGCCGUUCGCGUCGGAUGUGAAAGCUCAGGGCUCAACUCUGAGAUGCCAUUCGAUACGGGACGGCUAGAGGUAGGUAGGGGAGAGUGGAAUUCCUGGUGUAGCGGUGGAAUGCGCAGAUAUCAGGAAGAACACCGGUGGCGAAGGCGGCUCUCUGGGCCUUACCUGACGCUGAGGAGCGAAAGCGUGGGUAGCGAACAGG
rnacentral:rRNA from 1 species